UACGGAGGGUGCAAGCGUUAAUCGGAUUUAUUGGGCGUAAAGGGGGCGCAGGCGGGAAGGAAAGUCAGACGUGAAAGCCCAAGGCUCAACCUUGGAACUGCAUUUGAAACUUCCUUUCUUGAGGGUAGGCGGAGAAAACGGAAUUCCACAAGUAGCGGUGAAAUGCGUAGAUAUGUGGAAGAACACCGGUGGCGAAGGCGGUUUUCUAGCUUAUACCUGACGCUGAGGCCCGAAAGCUAGGGGAGCAAACAGG
rnacentral:misc_RNA from 1 species